rnacentral:rRNA from 1 species
AACGAACGCUGGCGGCAUGCCUAACACAUGCAAGUCGAACGAGACCUUCGGGUCUAGUGGCGCACGGGUGCGUAACACGUGGGAAUCUGCCCUUUGCUUCGGAAUAACAGUUAGAAAUGACUGCUAAUACCGGAUGAUGUCGAAAGACCAAAGAUUUAUCGGCAAAGGAUAAGCCCGCGUAGGAUUAGGUAGUUGGUGGGGUAAAGGCCUACCAAGCCGACGAUCCUUAGCUGGUCUGAGAGGAUGAUCAGCCACACUGGGACUGAGACACGGCCCAGACUCCUACGGGAGGCAGCAGUGGGGAAUAUUGGACAAUGGGCGAAAGCCUGAACCAGCAAUGCCGCGUGAGUGAUGAAGGCCUUAGGGUUGUAAAGCUCUUUUACCAGGGAUGAUAAUGACAGUACCUGGAGAAUAAGCACCGGCUAACUCCGUG